rnacentral:rRNA from 1 species
GACGAACCGUGCGAACGUUAUUCGGAAUCACUGGCUUAAAGCGCGUGUAGGCGGGAGGCACGUCCGUCGCUGAAAUCCCCCGGCUCAACCGGGAACGGGCGCGGAUACGACCUUCCUGGAGGGCGUAGGGGGACCUGGAACUUCCGGUGGAGCGGUGAAAUGCGUUGAGAUCGGAAGGAACGCCCGUGGCGAAGCGAGGUCCUGGACGCCUACGUGACGCUGAGACGCGAAAGCCAGGGAGCGAACGGG